GACAAUCGAAAUAAAACACAUGGCGUUGCGUGAUUGGGUCUGCUCGUCUGUUGCGGAUCAAUGUUUAAAAACAGAGUUUUAGAUUCUUUUCAAUUCAUUUAGAAAUUUGUGUAAAACUCUUAAAAUCUUGAGUACUUCUCUGUGUAAAUCUCGAGUUCAUUGUUGGGAAAAAUUUUUCUACUUCACGAUCUUUUGCAAGCGAGCUACGUUUAAGUAUUUUAGGAACAUCCAUUCGGAUUAUCAUUUCAUCAAAUACAGUUUUUAUGUAUCAAUAUCCUGCAUCAAAGACAUUAUAAAGUGUCCGAAGAGAAGCUCUUUUCCCCAGCGAAAAAUGUGUUUCUGCCCUAAUUCGAAGAUUUUAAUGUUUUUGUUAUGCAAUUUUGGGGUUAUGUUUCAAUUUUAAUUACGGGUUGGUUUAAUAUUAGUUUACGUAUUUUUGGUUCUUUACUUUUAUAAAUUAGGUACUUGAAUUAGUUUUAAACUCGCUAUUAGGCUUGGAAAAAACUUUUACCAAUGUUUUUUUUUUUUUUUGUAAAAGGGCUUUCAACUUUUACCAAUGUUAGUUAUGUUAUGUUACUCGCGAGACUAAUAUAGAUGCAUGGCGAUGGUUACUUAAUUUGUGUAUUCAAAAACUGAUAUAACUAAAAACUCUUUAAUUCUUUUUGUGUAUUUUUAUGUACAGUACAAAAUAGUUUGGGAAUUUUUCUGGAAACUCAAUAAGUUCAAAUACUUUGUAGAAAUUGUUGAAAAGUCAGUCAUUAAUGGGACUUACUGAAUUUCUGUAGGCUAAUUUUUUCUUUAUGUCAAAAAGCUAAAAUUAUAUAGUAUAAAAAUAAUUUAAAACUGCUUCUAGUGAAAAAAAUGCUCUAAUUUAAAUUACACCGAAUUAAUAAUUUUUAUUUUGAAGUCCAGCUAAGUAUAAUUAUUUCACAUAACAAAACAGGGGGACUGGUAGACUCUCUCUUCUCUCUAAACCUAGUGAGAGAGAGUGAGUCGCGGUGGUUCCCUACCGGUGAGAACCUUCUGGCUGGUGUAGUCUAUUGACAAGUAUGCUUUGACUCUGGUAUACGGUAGUCCCCGUGAUGCUGUGUAGCCGGCUCUGGAUUCUAGUGGUUCGCGCUUGUCUCUGGUGGAACCAUCCGGCGUAGUAGUUUGAUCUCGGUUGGUGUUGAAGUUGUGAUAAGAAGAUCAUGGGGUAUGGUCUUAGGAUUGGCGUGUUCUGUCUCAAGUUUGGUUAGCGAUGGCGCUAACUGAUCAAUUACGGGUUUUGGUCUGAGUUUUUUGGAUGAGAUCUCGAUUUUAAUCGAUUGAUUCUCUCUGAAAUUCAGAUUGUCUGGCUUACUGCUGAAUUUCCUAAACCUCCAAUACAGUUGUUGGAGGUGGCUUUUCGGUGGUUGUGGGUGAAGUCCCGGUGGAAUCCGGUGUUUAACUGCUUUGUUUGGUUGGUGAUGGCUAUUAUGUCGGAGAAGAUGAUGGAGGGUGGUGUUCCUGGUGUGACGCCGGUGUGAUUCGGUGGUUCCGGUGCAUCGCCGUUUGGUCUCCGGCGUAGAAUCUCGAAUUGACGAAAGCGGUGAAGGAGAAAGGACGCGUGGUCCCUCGUGGUGUGAGUUUCAGACACUUGUUCCGUUUCUUUCUGAUCUCCACACGUGGUUGGGUUUGUCCUUUGUUUGGGCUUUUGUCUUUAUUUUAUGUUUUUUUAUAUCUUUUGUAUAGGCUUCUGUUUG
rnacentral:lncRNA from 1 species